rnacentral:tRNA from 1 species
GACGUAGUAGCCAAGAUGGAAAGGCUCCGGACUGCAACUCGGGGAUCGUGAGUUCGAAUCUCACCUAUGUCU